CGGAGAUCGUCCAUGUUGCAGUCUGAGGAGUUAACGCAGCAGCUGGCAGGGAUCCCAUUGGACGGGUAGUAAACACUGGCCAACCAGCUGGUGUAGUUAUACACACCGCAGCAACGCAGCUACAACCAGAGACAAGCACCUCAUCUAUCUGCCUGUCUGCUCAGCCAUGUCCUGUUCUUUGUCUGGAUGAAGCCUGUGCAGGAAUGAGUCGCGUGCUGAUAUGUCCGUGCUGAUCUGAAACCUGACCCCUGCCUCGCUCCUCUGUGUGCAGCUCUGAGGGAACCAGACUUCUCUCCCUCUUCACUCAGAAACCGUCUCCUGUUUACUACACUGCUCUGACAUCCAAUAAAAAACCUCUCACCAGCUUCAGCAUCCAUGGGCUCCCUCUGCAGGUGGCGAAGCAUCCAAAGAGGCCAAAAACGAUGAUGACGGUCCCGGUGCCAAUGAGGACAUACGGGGCGUUGGUGGAGUUGUCUGCUAUCAGAGAGAUGUACGGGCCCAGCAUCAACUUCCCCCAUACUCCCACUGCCAGCAGGAUGGCUCCUGUUAUCUGCAAGCACGUCAAAGGUGGAGGAGGAGGAGGAUCAAGGUGGAACAAAAAACGAGGAGCAAUUAGAGUGUAAGGAGGAGGAGAGUGAAGAUGGGAGACAAAUUUAUCUGGAGUACAGGAUAGGGAUCACCUGCUUUAUGAAUAUGCCUGCGCUUGCACAAGCACGGGAAGACGAGAGACCAAAAGAAAAAAGGGCAAAUCAAAGGAGCUCUUUGAUCCGAGGCGAGACGCUUCCUCCUGUUGCUCCUCUCUUUGCAUUUCAAAUGAAGGCCGUGGAUAAAAGAGCGUGCUGUACGAGGCAGCUGAAGCAGCGUGGGGCUCAGCUGGGUAUGCUUUACUGGCAUUGGAAAGUGAGGGAGCGGAGAGUGGAGCGGCUGUUGAUGAUCUGACUGUAGCCGAGGCCAAGUCAUCAUCCUAACCUGCUUCGUUCCCUGCUCGACCGCCUUCCUGCUGCCAGGCCUUCUGAACGGAAAGGAGGCAGUCAGCACAAAAUGUAUGUGCACUCCUGCAAAACCUCAAACUGAGAGGAGAGAAGUUUUAGCUCAAAAAUGAGCCACCGGGACGGAAAUACCAGCAGAGUUUCAAGUAGCAAUUAGAGAAAGUGGUGUUGAAAAGGUUACAUCUGCUGUUUCACUUCUCUGACUGUCUACAGCAGCGUUUACAGGUUAAUGAUUGUGUUAACUACAUUUACACUUUGCCCUAUUGGCAGCGUAAUUCCAGCCAGUGAUUAUCAGACAAUACUUUAAUCAGAUCAACAGCCUCCAGGCUCCUCCUCCAGGUUUACUGUACUGUACAGUAGAAUAGAAAGGCCGAUCCAAAGACACACAACUUCCCUUUUGACAAAAUAUAUACUAGUCCCAGUUCAAAAAUUCAAUACUAAACACACAUCAUUCAAUCGUUCAAUAACAAGAGAUCUCAGCCAAUACUAAUAGGCUUCCCUUUAAAAUGUUGAAAUAGUAAAGGGGGGUCCAAUCAUUGAACAGGAUUAAAUGCAGCCCCAAACUUUUUCAGAGCUUUCCCUGUGCUUUAACUUUGGUUCAAAACAUCUUUUCUCUCAAACACUGACAGUGACUGAAUGCAGACGUUUUAUUAGACGUUGAUCUCUGUGAGGCAGAUCUUUGGUCCAGUCCUGAUUUACUUUCUUAUCAGAUUUGAGCAUUUUCUCUGUGAUGCUUCUUGUUAUAAAUGUUUUUCUACGGUUGCAAGUAACUUUACUUAGGUCAUUAUUUAUAAGGCAUUGGUUAGCUGCCUUGGCAAAGUCCUGUUGGACUUUUCCAAGGUUUUGUUUUUGUUCCCAUAGAAAUAACUUUGUGAACCUUCUCAAAAGAUGUAGAUGGUGUGGAUUUGUUCCCUAACCUUUACUUACAACAACGUCAAAUUUCCUUAUGUAAUACAAAUACAUAUAAUGUCAACAUGUGUUUGGCUGAUGUUUAGAUAUUUUUGCUGUUUUUUGCUACAUUUAGAUACUAGGGCUAACAUUUAGGUUUUUCCUUGUGCUAUAUGAUUAAUUAUGCAUGUUAAAGGCUUGAAAAAAAAACCCCGUUUCAAAUCAGGUUUUCCUGCAACCAUUCAAGUUUCCACUGCAGAUCACACGCUCUGUUGACCCCUUUUUUAAACAGCAAAAAAAUACAACCUCCACCAAGUUCUGGACAAAAAGCUUAGGACAACAUUUGUAAAAAUGUUUUGUACUUGUACUGUGCAAUUAACAGAUUAUACAGAGAUAUUUAGAACAUUUAACAGAUACUUGGUUUAAUAUAUAUAUAUAUAUAUAUAUUAUUUGUCCUCACUCCUGCACCUGGCACUAAAAACUUCACCAUUUUCUGUGAAUUGAUUUAGUACUAAUGACGAUUAACUGAUGUGUGUUUCUAAAGUGAAGUACUUUCUCUGCCCAGCUGAACCUAACGACCUGAGGCUGUUGGUUUGACUUCGUCAGCAAUGACAUCUCCUGUUUCUAUUAACAGGAAUACUAACAGCCUGAGCAGACUGUCAUUUUAGACAACGUGCCUCUUGAUGACAAUGCAGUUGCUGUUUAUGGCUCUCGCCACCCGCGACAAAAUGUCCCUUCUCCCUAACAGCUGCGUCCACGUACGGGUAAAAGAUCAACUCAGUCAUUUUCAAUGCUUAAGUGUCCAUUUUACAGACAGCGGGGGAAAUCAGACUUCAGGAAGCAGGGGCAAGGCAUCUCGACUUCAGGCCUGCUGCUGAAUUCCAAACAGGCCCCCUCCUGAUCUUUACGUUUUGUUUGAAAUUCAAAGCCUGGCCCAGCCACCCUGGUUACAGCACUAGGUUUAAAACAGGUCACUCCUCCCGCCUCCUUUUCCUCCUCCCGCUCUGUUCAGCUUAAUAAAGAAACAGGAGGUGUGAAGACAAAAUAUUCUGGCAUGUGCACCGCACUUACUCCACCACCUGCCCUGUAGUUCACUGUCCAGGUUUAUUCACAUCAGAGACUUUAUUUGUCAUGACACGGAGAUGACAGUGACACAGGGAUCUGGCGCUGGUGACACACAGGGAACUCAGUGUCAGUUCAGUCCACAUGCUUCACUCUCAAGGUUGAAGAUAGAGACAGAACCGUGAGACACUUGUGAACUUCAGACUUCUGAAACCUGAUGCAGCAGACGUGAAGGAGGCCCAGACGACCACACGGUCCCAACUAAAUAUAGACGUUUGUAUCUAUGACAUUGGCACAUGACAGAAGGAAACGCAGCACAGUUCUUCUUUUAAACCUCUGUGAGGAUCCCAAACCUUUCAAGGCCUCCAUGACUGCUCCCAAACCUCUCAAACCUUCAAUGAAGCUUCAAAAACAUUUGGAACUUUCAUGCCUGCUGCUAAGCCUUUCAAAUCAGUCAUGUUCAAAACCUGACCAGGCAGCCAAUGAAGUGAGGUUUGAUCUUUUAUGGAACAGUUUUGCUUUGAUUUUAUUUUAAAUACAGUGGGGCCCCGAGAUACGAGUUUAAUCCGUUGCACAACAGCACUCGUGUGUCGAUCCGCUCGUAUCUAGAUUGCAAAGAUCUAGAUUUGUAAAUGUGUAAAAAAAACUGGAGAGAACAGUUUGUACAGUAUUGGACUAUUUCAUAUUUGAGUAUUAGCUGGACAAAAAAAAUGGUGAAUGCAAUGCAUUAGUGUGAGAAUUAAUAAUAGUCUUAAGUAUCAAAGAAGGAACAGUUGGCUCCUGGGUAUUUUUAUAUUAUUGAUUCUGGCUGCUUUGUUUUUGGCUGUUUUUAAUUAAAUGGCUGCUCCUGUUUCUUUACUGAGCAUCAGGAUUAAAGCAAAAAUAAAAAAAGCUUCUCAUGGUUAGAGGUAAAAACAGUAGGAGCAGAGACAGCACUCUUUGGUCCUACAGACAGACAGACAUCUUCCACGUGUUUUUAUUUGAUAAUCCACUACUGGCUAUUAUGGCUGCUAUCAGACACCAACAAUCCUGGACCAUACAAUCCACAACCGUGGACACAAAUGAUGGGAAACAGAACUCACUGAACUCACUCAGCUGGAGGUUUGGUUAUCAGCUCGCCUGCAGACUCAGAAGUUAAAGCAACAGCAAACCACGACAGCCCACAUUUCUGCUCACUCAUUUACUGAAGUAAUUUCAAGUGUAAAUCUCUUGAUUGGACGAUGCUGAUUUGCAAGUGGUGAAAGCAACGUUGAUGUUAAUCAAAAACAUGUAUGGAAGAAGGUGCACAAAGUGCUUCCCUACAGAUAGGUGUUGUAUUGAUUUUAACGCACUGCCAAAAUCCUAAGAAAGUCAAGUAUUACAUCACUGACCUUUAACUGGAGGAUACGUUAUUAUAACACCGCCCACUACUGGUGCCAAUAAAUAAUCAUUUCUCCUCAUUUAUUAAGUUUAAUGGGCCCAAUUAUCUGGACCAUUACCUCCCAUGUGUGAGUAUGAUUUUCCUUUUCCUUAUCAGAAGAGCCUCUUUAAAGAUGUCCAACAAAGAAUUGAAUAUUUUAAUAUUAAAGUCAACAAUGAAACAUGAAAAAACAAAUUAGGAAAAACCUAAAUGCACAUGAAAAGUUUCUAAUUCAAUAUUUUUGCAACAUUCACAAUAUGUGUGCCAAUAUUACCAAAUCCAGCCAUUUACUAGUCAUAUUUUUCCCAUUUUGUGUUCCAGUGUGUAGAAAGGUUACAUAUUUAAAAAAAUAAAAAAAACAACAUUAUCUAUUAGCAAAACUAGAAAUAAUUCUGUAAACCAGUUAAAUUUCUUUUCUUAUAUAAUUUCUUAUAUACUGGUGUUAUAUAAUCCUCAUAUGUGAUUAAAACUUUUAAAAGACCAA